AUUGAACGCUGGCGGCAGGCCUAACACAUGCAAGUCGAGCGGAUGAAGGGAGCUUGCUCCUGGAUUCAGCGGCGGACGGGUGAGUAAUGCCUAGGAAUCUGCCUGGUAGUGGGGGAUAACGUCCGGAAACGGGCGCUAAUACCGCAUACGUCCUGAGGGAGAAAGUGGGGGAUCUUCGGACCUCACGCUAUCAGAUGAGCCUAGGUCGGAUUAGCUAGUUGGUGGGGUAAAGGCCUACCAAGGCGACGAUCCGUAACUGGUCUGAGAGGAUGAUCAGUCACACUGGAACUGAGACACGGUCCAGACUCCUACGGGAGGCAGCAGUGGGGAAUAUUGGACAAUGGGCGAAAGCCUGAUCCAGCCAUGCCGCGUGGGUGAAGAAGGUCUUCGGAUGGUAAAGCACUUUAAGUUGGGAGGAAGGGCAGUAAGUUAAUACCUUGCUGUUUUGACGUUACCAACAGAAUAAGCACCGGCUAACUUCGUG
rnacentral:rRNA from 1 species